CACUGUCUCAGUGGGUGGGUGCACCCCUCGUGGUCCUGACUUCUUUGCUCAUAUUCUCCCUCCUUCUGCUCCUCCUUGGGACAUUGGGGUCCCAAGGAAAAAUAUCUCUUAAUUGCAUAUUCUUUUAAGCACUUCUCAAAUAUCAGUAUUUUUAUCUCAGGUUACCUUUUAUUUGUAAUUCGCUACUAUUUUUUGUUCAUUUCUAAGUGUUCAGUGUAACAUUUAAGGGGUAUGUGCUUAAAAGUCAGUAGUUUAAGAUUUUAUCUUAACAGGCAACCUGAAGAGUAUUUUUCUUUGCUUGAUGAAUUCAUAUACAUUUAUAUUUAUUAUGAAAUCAAUACUCUUGGUCACUUAGAAUCAUCUCUAUUCUAUUACAUGAAAACCCAUAGGUAGCACUUACCUUAAUGACAUCUGUGAGAUGUUCUGUAUUCUAGAUACAAGGAGUCCUUAAUCUGGUGCAUGGUUUUCAAACUUGUGUUUCCCCAUCAGGGCAUUGUCUUUAUUUAUCACCCAUUACUUGGAAGAGCAUACAGCUGACACUUGAUGGACGUCCUAACAACAAGCUUCUCAACUUAUGAAAAGAGGAUUGUUAUAUCUAAGAAGUUUGGUUUUUAUUGUUUUUAAUGAGCUAUAUAUUUAACUCCAAUUCCCUACAUUCCUACUGUCUCCCCUUCCUCCUCUCCUGUGACCCCCACACUCCCAGUUUUCUCAGGACUUCUUGUCUUUUUCUCCUUCCUAUGUAGAUCCAGAAUGUCUCUCUUAGGAUCCUCUUUCUUGUCUAGGUUGUCUGGGGUUGUGGAAAAUAAGCUGGUUUUUCUUUGCUUUAUGUCUAAAAGUCACUCAUGAGAGAGUACAUAUUACAUUUGUUUUUCUGGGUCUGGGUAAGAAAUUUGUUUUGAAUCCAUGUUCCUGAGCUUGAAGGUAUUUAGGUUGUUCCUCAGCCUGUUGCUCACCACCUUCACGUCUGACAUUGCGCCUUUUAUCAUACCUAGUUCUGUUGCUCUUUCUCUCCCAUUUCUCCACCACACAUUUUGCUCACCAUAAUGGCUUCCUUGAAGUACCGGUUAGACCUGUGAAUGUCUUCCCGCCAGCCCAGGCUUUGACAAUGCAGGCUGGCCUGUGGGUGACUGGCACCUGCCUGAAUAGAAUUGUAUCAGGCAGCCUGGGGAUAUCUUCCUUGCUCCCAAUGACUUCAAUGUUUUAAAAAUUGUGUGUAUAUUGUAAGCAUUGCUGCUCAGAUGGAAAAGGAUCAUGGCAGUCAGGAGCCAAGGAAUACCCCAAAUUCACCUUAAACAUAGGAGCUCACAGCCCUGCUUCAGGGAAAGUUUCCCCCAGAUUAACAGCUCUGCUCUGGUAGGGGAGGGUUUUCCCAGCUAAGUUGUUAGAGCUCUGCUUAGAUCCUCAGAAGAGUAACAAGUCUGCUCUGCUAGGAGAAGCUUUUCCAGUUCUGCUCCCCUCUCCUCUGCUCGUCUCCAGUUGAAGUCAUUGCUUCUCUGUUCUUCUUAGACAAAGAAGGUCUCACCCAAGCCUCAUUCAAGAGAUUCACUGGGAGGAAAGAAUCCAGGAGGUGGCUGCCCCUGCAAGAGUAGGAAAGGCAGCUCCCAACUGAAAAGGAUCAGGGUGUGCUGCUUUGGAUAGAAACGGGUGUUGUUUCCCCUAGAAAGAGAUAUGCAGGCCAUUGUGGGCCACCAAGUGAGUGCUGAGAACCCAGCCCAGGUCUUCUGUAAGAGCAACAAGUCCUCUUAACCAUGGGGCCAUCUCUGAAGUCCAAGUCAUCAAAUAUUAAACGUAAUUACUAUUUUUCUACUUUGCCCCAUAAUGAAAAUAGACAUCUUCUUAUACUCAGGUAGGUGCAAGUUUCAUUAUUAUUGACCAAUCCAGAAGGUUUCAUUUCUAUGUUAGUUAGGUUUUCAAUCCUAACCACUGCCCUACCCUGUCUUCAGGAAAAUACAACAAUCUGCCAUUAUCAACCAAUUUGUAUAUACUGGAAUGUAUUAGGAUAGAAUCAGAGUUUAGAAACAUCUGGCGUUCACUCAUCUUGCAUAUAUGUUUAAAUUUAUCUAUUUUGUUGCCCAUGAUAAUUGUUCACUCUUAACAUUAAAUGGUGUAGCAAUGUAUAGCUACACUAAAUAUUUUAAAAUUUCUUUUUAUUUUAUGUGUAUAUAUGUUUGCCUACAUAUAUGUAUGAAGAGCACAUUCAUGCCUGGUGCCCUUGGAAGCCAAGAGAAAACUUCGGAUCCCUUGGCACUGGAGUUACAGUUGGGAGUUGCCAUGUCAGUUUUGGGAAAUGAGUCUUUUAACUGUUGCCUGUUGUUUAGUUUGUUUUCAAUUUCAAUGUCUUGUAUAUAAAGCUGGUGUGAAAUGAAAUAAAUAAGUCUUUAAAAGAAAAUAUGUCCUCUUUCUCCAGGUUAUAUGUUUGGGGUUGUGAUGGUCAGAUGACAAUUAACAUAUGAAGAAACUGAGAAAUACUUUUCCAAGUCUCUGUCCCGUUUUCCAUGGCCACCAAAAGUUGGUAUGAGACUUUCAUUCUCCACAACCUGCCAGGUCUUUGUAUGACAAGUCUUUAUUUCUGAGUAUUUUAUAGGGGUGUCGAGAGUCCCCUCAGAGUCACCUGUCUCUCUUCCCUAAGUGUUAAGGAUGUUGAUGCUUUAUGUUUCUCUUAGUGGAGCAUCUACUCACCCUUCUGGCCAAGUUUGAUUUCGUGAAUUGUCUAAUUUCUUAGUGGCUAUUUUUGGAGCUUUCUGUAUUCUGGAAACAAGAAGACUGUCAUCUGAUACACAAUUUCCAACAUUCAUUUUCCCAGUAUUUUGAAGUUGCAAGUGAAUUAUGAGAAAAGAAACAAAUGUCCAACACCCAAUUAGAGGGAAAAUUUCUAAGGCAGCCCCAGGUCAAAUGUUUGCCCAAAUGGAAUCUUUGGAAUCAUAGAGAUAGUCCUUUACCUCCCAGCCAGCUCCAUCAGGGAGGUGCUGAGAUCACGGUGGAGAGAAAGAAGGGGAUACAUGUGAGGAGUUAGGUCUCUUCUAUGAGAAGAACAACAGGAAGGCAGAGAGAACACGCAGAAGGUUGACAAGAAGCUGACAUGAGCCCUUGUGUUCAAACAGGGAGAAAACUGUGAACUCUCCAUGCAGAACCAGCUCCUGGAGAAGAACCAAGUGUGGUGUGGUCUUGUCAGUCUGUUACCUAGCAAGAGUGACAAGAUCAUGUGGGACUCACCAGGGUCUGGGUCAUUGUUCUGUACACACAACCACAGACAGUACAACAGCAGCCUCCAGUCCCUUGUUGCUUACCUUUGAGGAAGCUGGGCAUCUAAGUGGAUUACAAUGGAAACCAUUCAAAGAGACUGCGUUAAACUGCCUGGUCCACAAAGAAAAUCAAAUGCUGCCCUGGGAUGGCCCAAGUAUGGAUGAUCUACAAGAAAGCAAUUUGUUUAAGGGGACAUUGAGGUGACACCAAGCACGUGACUUCCCUUUCCCACACUGUGGGACUAGAACCAGAGCCACAGGACUCAGAGAGGAAGAGGAACCACGUCUUCAAAGACAAAGACAGGCAGAGGGUCCAGGCUGAGCAUGAACUCUCCUGAUUUCAGGAAAUGCUCACUGCAGGUUUCUCACAUAGGAGUCACCUCCUCUCAGCUCUCCACGUGGGUAGUCUGUGAGCAAAGAGACACGCUUCUCCAUUGCUGGAGAGAAUGCCACUGUUCUCCAAGCCUAUGGAGGGAUCUGAUGCUAGUAAAACACAAGCGUGCAUUCUGGGGACCAGGGAACUUUCUUCUAAGGAUCCAUCCCAAAGAACACAGAAGGGGACACAAAGACUGUCAGAGCAACAAUGUAGAACUCCAAGACCAGAACUAUGAAAAUCGUCUGUGGGAAGGAGAGAGUGAUGGAACGAUCUCAGGUGUAUCUACGACUGCUUUCCUCUGCUUACUGACAGUUUACCCAUCUAACAUGAUACUCCAGGACCCCUGGUUAUCUUCUCAGUACAGAAACCUGGUGCCCACAAAAGAAGCCAGUAUGUGAAUACCUGGAUAAACAUUACAUAUCUGAAGGAAUUGAUUUGCCUAUGGAUAUGCCAUAUAAGAUACUGAUAUUUAAGGCAGUAAGUAGAGAACAUGGUGUGGAAUUGAGCAGUCUGUGACUCCAUAUCCUGGAAGACAGAAUAUCAAACCCACUAGCAAUAAAUUUUAACAUGGACAGCCACCAGAAAGAAGUGGCUUUGCCACACCCCACUUCCCAGGGAUUGAUUCAGUGUCUGUUAUGGACCCAGAUAUCUACCAUUUUAAUAAGGACUCCCUGCAAAUGUGAUGCAGUAAUGCAUGGCCCAUUGAGGAAAAUGGUCUGACGGGGAUGGCUUCCAUUUCAGUCCUGGUCAUUUAAAGGAACCCAUGCAGGGGACAGUCAUCUGGGAAGUCUAUUAAUGUCAUUGUUCCACAGUGUGCUGCUAUUGCUGCUACAUGCUCAACAGGUUGAGUUCCUACAAGGCAUGACAGAUCCCCUGCUGGUCACACGGAUGGGAAGAGAAAA